rnacentral:scRNA from 1 species
GCUUUCUCGGGAUGAGAUGCUGGUGGCUUUGA